rnacentral:lncRNA from 1 species
UGCCUCCCAAGUGCUGGGAUUAAAGGCGUGUGCCACCACACCUGGCUGAGAGCAAUGUUAAGUAAGACUUUUCUACCAUUUCUUUCCAUUGAAAACUGCAAAGCCAACAUCAUGCUCACAGAUAUGCUUAAACACAUGUGGUUUCUGCUGCAGUUACCAAAAGCUCUGCAGAGGCUGAGCCAUUGUUACAGUUACCUGCUGCGGGGGAGGGGCUCUGGACCCCGUAGCCUGAGCAGAAGUGGAGGGAGAGAAAGGAAAGGUGAUAGCUUCACCAUGUGGAGCAGAAAAGAAAGCCAAAGGAAAGACAUGUCCAUUUUUUCUCUUUUUAAUGUCUCUCCAUUUAAAAACAGUUUCAGCUUAGUUUUAGUCAGCUGUUCUUUCAGUGGUUUAUCUGUUUUGUCAAGAAUCAGUUGAAAAUAGCCGGGCAACAUUGGACUUGCAAACUGUAUAUGCCCCAGUACAGGGGAACCCCAGGGCCAAAACAGGGGAGUGGGUGGGUAGUGGAUUGGGGGGGUGGGUAUGGCGGACUUUUGGGAUAGCAUUGAAAAUGUAAACGAGGAAAAUACCUAAUAAAAAUAAAAUUAAAUUAAAAAAAAAAAAGAAAGAAAGAAAAUAGCCGGGCAAAAGUGGUGCACGCCUUUAAUCCCAGCACUUGGGAGGCAGAGGCAGGCAGAUUUCUGAGUUCAAGGUCAGCCUGGUCUACAGAGUGAGUUCUAGGACAGCCACGAGUACACAGAGAAACCCUGUCUAGGAAAAAAAAGAAUCAGUUGAAAAAAAUAAACAUGACUGUAUUCAUUGUUGGGAUAUUGAAUUCGAAUAAAAUAUUCAUAUACAACCUGCAACUCAUAGCACCCACCGGAGGCAUGUCUGUACCAGAGGCAUGUCUGUUAGUGGAAUUCACCAAUCUUAUCUCAAUACCAGGCCUGCAGUCAGGAGCAAAUUGGUGUGUAUGUGUGUGUGUGUGUGUGUGUGUGUGUGUGUGUGUGUGUGUGUGUGUGUGUGUAAAGCUGUGAUACCGAGUCCUUUUCUUACACAUCUGGGAAUGGUCCAACCCUAACACAGAGCCUGGCAAAGGGAGGACACUCAGUGUAGGUCUGCUGAAGGACUGGAGAGAUGUGCCUGUGAACACGUGACGAGAAAAGGUAAGGAGCCUCUUGAGGAUCUGCAGUGCCUCCCAGGGCAGGCAGGCAUGCGCGUGUGAAGAGAUACUUGAGGCAGGAAAGCAGGGUGGCCGGGGGCUUUAUAUUUACCUCCUCUUAGUGUCGUUGUUCUACAGUUUCUAGCUCUCUCCUGGAGCGUUGUGUCUUUCCUCCCCGUGGCGGUACGCUAUACACCCCAAAGGAAGGCGGGUAGGCAGCACCCCAAGUACAGUCUGUUUCUCAGAGUUAACAAAGGAGGCUCCCAAGGUAAGGGAGGACAUGGGGGAGAAAAGAAGCAACUAGGAGAUUGGGUAUAAGUCCAAGUGAGGGAUGUUGGAACCCUAGGGAGGAUGGUAGGGGUGGGGCAGGGGCAGGGAUGGAGCCAAGUCAGUGAUGACAGCUUAGGGGAUCGUUUGGAUGUAGGGGAUGAGACAGAGUGAGGAGGCAGAAUAAAGGCCUGCUUCCUGGCUUGGGUAACUGGGUAGCAUGCACAGCAGUUACCCAACAUGGAAAAGGCCGGAAAUGGAAAAGUACUGAGCAGGAGAUGCUUUUGGAUGGAGUCACAACACCUCAUUCCCUUGACUCAUAGUCUAAAUCUCACAGACUUCCUGUGGAGCCUACAGAUUCCUUUGCCAGGAAACAAACCAACAAAAAAAUGGUUCUUUGCUGUUAUUUAUAAAUGAAACUGCCAAGCAUUUGGCUUUUUAGAAGGUCCUGCUCUUGGCUCUUUCUUGCUCUAGGGUACCGGCCUGUGAGCUAUUGGUGGGUGCAGAAGCACUCUCGAGCCAGCACCUCUAUUCCUAGACUCUUUCCAAGCCUGGGGUUCAACACAAGGUGGCAGAGCGGGGAGCUCACUACUGAGAAUUGAACCCAGUGCCUUGGAAAGAGGAGAUAAUAAACACAGUCUUUACCACUGUGUGUGUGUGUGUGAGUGUGUGUGUACAUGUUCAUAUAUGUUCAUGGGCAUGCAAGUACAUGCAGGUAUAUGUAAGAGCUUGUAAAAGCAACAUUGGUCUUCCUCAGUCACUGACUAUCAUUUUUGACACAGGGUCUAUCACUCUAAACCUGGAGGUCACCAAUAAAUCACCCAAUCCAGUGCUGUCCAUGGACUCGUGGACAUGGGGCCAUCCAGUGGGAGUGUGGUCAACCUCCAAGUGCUGUAACCUUGAGCAAAAAUAACUUUCUCUUUCCCAGAAAUUACCAACUGUUAAUAGCUCUUCAGCCAUGGGUGGGGAGGGGGCUCUUUGGAUCAAACUCUGGUCCUUUAAUCUACUGAGCCAUCUCUAAAUCCCUGCCAAUAUUCAGUUUUAUAUGUCAACUUGGCUUGCAGGCUGUAGUACACUGAUAUAUGGUCAAAUGAUAGUCUAGACCAAUGGGUUUCAACCUCCCUAAUGUUGUGACCCUUUAAUAGAGUUCCUCAUGUCGUGGUGACCCCCAACCACAAAAUUAUUUGUGUUGCUACUCCAUAAUACUGUAAUGUUGCUAAUGUUAUACAUUGUAAUGUUAAUAUCUGUGUUUUCUGACUGUCUUAGGUGACCCCUAGGAAAGGGUUGUUUGAUUUCUUGCUCCCACAGGGGGUCAUGACCCAUAGACUGAGAACUACUAGUCUAGAUGCUGCUGUGAAACUCUUUCUCUUAGUGUUGUCAACAUUUACAUUUGUAGACUUUGAGUAUACUCAGAUCUCCGUGAUGUGGACUGGCCUUCUAAUCAGCUGACAACCUUGUUAGAAAAAGACUGAAUGUACCCUAAGGAGAGGGAGCUGUGCCAACAGGGAAUGGGGUGACCUUAUCCUUCACUCUUCCCUACUUCUCUAGCCUGUAGUGUGUGUGUGUGUGUGUGUGUGUGUGUGUGUGUGAUAUUGAUAUGUGUAUGUAUAUUGAUGUGUGGUAUUCAUGUAUGUGUGAGUAAAUGUGUGUAUGUGUGUGCAUGUGAGUGUGUGUGUGUGUAUGUGUGGUGAGUGUGUGGUUUGUGUACAUUUGAGUGUGUAUGUGGUAUAUGUGUGCAUGUGGCUUGUGUGUGAUAUGUAUGUAUAUGAGUAUGUGAUAUAAGUAUGAGUGAGUGUGUGUAUGGUGUGAGUGUAUGUGUGUUUGUGCAUAUGUGCUUUGUCCCCACUGGACCUUCACAUGCACAGAGAAGUGCACAGACUCUCCUUAGGAAUUGCAACAGAUUAAGAGAUGGCAGUGUGUGUUCUGAGAGCAUUUUUGGAGAGUGUCUGAAUCAGUUUGUCCAUGACAUAAAUAACUCUUGUCUACUUGGCAUGAUGUCAUGCGUGGAUUUUAAAUUAGCCUACUCUGAUAAGGGUCUUCUGACUAUUAACGGGACCUUCUGACAGAGGUGUCAGGACACUUGCCCCUGUCCAGCCACUCACAGACCAAGGAUGAGCAGUUCACAAGAGUGACUCGCAACCCAGCCAUAAAUAAUGGAGGUUAGUGGACAUCUCCCCCUUCCCCUUCUAAUGCCCAGUGGUGUUGCAAGUUGUUAAACUUUGGUGUAUCCUCAGGAGUUAACUGCUGGGAAGUUCAGAGAGGAUCAGGUAUUCCAGCUGUGGAAAACACCAGCUACACUGACCCCCAAAUGCUGUCACUGUGUCAGCCAGCUCUUCUUAAUCUUCAUUUCCAGUAGCUAUUUUGUGACUUUUAACAUCUGUAUCAGUACAUCUUCUCUAGAUGUGAGCAACUGAAAGAAACUUGAAUUAGCUUAAACAGUAAAGGGGAAAGUCACAUAAGAACCCAAGAGUUUCACAGAACCCACGGGUGAAAAGCUAUAAUUGGGUCUCCGGAGGGAAGUAGGAAGUGUUCAGGGCUCCCUGCUUCAUGUUUUGAUUUCCCUCUAUAGUGUUUUAUAAUGAUUAAUAAAAACAGGUGACAUCAACUGAGUGCUUAGCGUAUCCCACAAGAACUUUUGGAAAAAGGUGUUUUUCAAAUCACCUCUACUGUACUCGUGAGGAGUCUGUGACACAGAGAGGUAGAAGUGCCCCGCUGUCCCCACUUUGAAAGUAGCAAACAGGAAUUUGUGGCUCAGCAGAUUGGUUCUGGAGCAGGUCCCUCUGAGUUCUGCAUCUUGGGGUGGAUCCAGAUUAGGGUAGCAUCCCAGAGCUUUCCCUUUGCAGCCCCAGUUGCGGGCGUUUGAAUACUGGGGGGUGGGGGAGGCAGGGAGAAGCUGAGGAUCACAUCUGGACAGCUGAAACUGAGGAGAACGUGCCGAAGCUCUGACAUCUGCUUCUGUGGAAAAUUUCCAAUUGGCAAAGCUAUGUUCCCUUUACCAUUUGAAUCCACCCAAUCGGCCUGCACGGCUGGCUGCCUUUGAGGCAUUUAAGGACUGAAUACUGGGCGGCUGGAGUUCUCCAAUCCCAUGCCUCCCUCAGUGCCUCUAACACCCUACUUGUGUUUACAAUCUCCAUACACUGUGCGAGACGCCCUUGACAUGCAUGAUUCUCCAGUUAUAUACAGCAGCACAGAGGCUCAUGGCUCUACCAAUACCACCUUUUCACGGCACUAUUCUGCAAUGUUUCCUGUUGUCUACAAAUAAAAUUCCCAUCUGUCUGUCUGUUUAUAUGUCUGUGUGUGUUAUUUAAAACACACACAACAUCCUAAUUACAAAGUUUAGCGAGCAUGAAAGCAAAGCAAUUCAUGACGACCCAUUGUGUAGAUGCUCGGGCCCAGCUGACUCUCACACAAGGAAACAGAUGUUUGCACCUGCUUAUCACAAAUGUUUAUGUUUACAAGAAGUAGGAAGACCAGAAACUUCUUGUGGAGAAAGUGCGGAGAAUGAAAAGGUGGAGGUACAAGGGUAAAAAACAGCCCACAGAUAUCUGCAGCUGCCCAAAGGAAAAGGAGGUUAGCCAAGCCAAGCCUCACAUGUGUCAAAGGCAAUGGCAGAAUGUGAGAAAUGAGCAGCUGCCACGCCCUCACACAGGAGGGAGCUUCCGAUCCACAGGCACACAUAGCGCCAAAGUGUUUGUGGACAUGGAACCGUGUCCCAGACAGGAAUUACCAGGGGUCUGUCUCCUAGCCUGGUCCCCCUGGAUCAGUCUCUAGGCAUUAGUGAUCAUGUGUUUCAGCAGGAAAAGUGUAGGGUAGGAAGUGACGACCUGCAGCCCUUUCUGAGCUACUGGUGCUUAAAGAUAGGUUAUUAGUCACAAGUCUCCAGAGAGCCAAAGAAUCACACACACACACACACACACACACACACACCCCACAUACAUACACCACAUAGUCUUACACAACAUACAUA